rnacentral:rRNA from 1 species
AGAGCGAACGCUGGCGGCAUGCUUAACACAUGCAAGUCGCACGGGCAGGGGCAACCCUGUCAGUGGCGGACGGGUGAGUAACGCGUAGGUAUCUAUCCUUGGGUGGGGGACAACUGUGGGAAACUACAGCUAAUACCGCAUGAUAACUGAGGUUUAAAGGCGCAAGUCGCCUGGGGAGGAGCCUGCGUACGAUUAGCUUGUUGGUGGGGUAAAGGCCUACCAAGGCGACGAUCGUUAGCUGGUCUGAGAGGAUGAUCAGCCACAUUGGGACUGAGACACGGCCCAAACUCCUACGGGAGGCAGCAGUGGGGAAUAUUGGACAAUGGGCGAAAGCCUGAUCCAGCAAUGCCGCGUGUGUGAAGAAGGUCUUCGGAUUGUAAAGCACGUUUCGACGGGGACGAGUGAUGACGGUACCCGUAGAAGAAGCCCCGGCUAACUUCGUGCCAGCAGCCGC